rnacentral:lncRNA from 1 species
UUCCUCCACCAAAGCCUUAAACCGGUAUAUCCACCAUGUCUUCCACCUUGUAACGUAAAACUUUUUCAACUACUCCGAAACACACAUCAAGUCAUUAUUAGUUUCCAACACUUCCCGGUUUAGUUCCACCAUCUAGUAAACUUCAUUUCACUAGUACAACUAAAACCAACCAAUGUCACUAACAACCAACCGAAGUUUCACAACUUAUCCACACCAUGAGAAUCACAACUAGUAACAAAGUUCAAGAACAAUACCUCGCAUUGUGUGAAAGAAAUUCAACCAUACCUUGAACCUUAUAAGCUUUCCCGUUGCCAAGAUGAACAAACUCCACCUUCAACUAGCUCCAGGGCUUUAAAGUACUCCUUCCUCAAAACACAUGUGAUCGGAGCAUCCAAAGUCCAUGACUUCAACUCCAUUGAUUCCCAACUUCACCAUACUAGCACAUCCGCAUUCUCACAGUAAUAAGGUUGUUGUUUCGAACGUAAUCCUGAGUAUUAUUAC